AGAGUUUGAUCCUGGCUCAGGAUGAACGCUGGCGGCGUGCCUAACACAUGCAAGUCGAGCGAGAAGUAAAGAAAUGAAGCUUCGGUAGAUUUUCAUUAUGGAAAGCGGCGGACGGGUGAGUAACGCGUAGGCAACCUGCCCUGUACAGGGGGAUAGCCACCCGAAAAGGUGAUUAAUACCCCAUGAUGCAAGAGAUACACAUGUAUCACUUGUCAAAGAUUUAUCGGUAUGGGAUGGGCCUGCGUCUGAUUAGCUAGUUGGUAGGGUAACGGCUUACCAAGGCAACGAUCAGUAGCCGACCUGAGAGGGUGAUCGGCCACAUUGGAACUGAGACACGGUCCAAACUCCUACGGGAGGCAGCAGUGGGGAAUAUUGCACAAUGGGGGAAACCCUGAUGCAGCAACGCCGCGUGAAGGAAGAAGGCCUUCGGGUUGUAAACUUCUGUCCUAGGGGAAGAAACAAAUGACAUUACCCUUGGAGGAAGCCCCGGCUAACUACGUGCCAGCAGCCGCGGUAAUACGUAGGGGGCGAGCGUUGUCCGGAAUUACUGGGCGUAAAGGGCACGCAGGCUGUGCUUCAAGUCAGCUGUAAAAGGAUGCGGCUUAACCGUGUUAUGCGGCUGAGACUGAGGUGCUGGAGUACCGGAGAGGCAAGUGGAAUUCCCAGUGUAGCGGUGAAAUGCGUAGAUAUUGGGAAGAACAUCGGUGGCGAAGGCGACUUGCUGGCCAGUAACUGACGCUGAGGUGCGAAAGCCAGGGUAGCAAACGGGAUUAGAUACCCCGGUAGUCCUGGCUGUAAACGAUGAAUGCUAGGUGUGCGAGCAGAGAUGUUGGUGUGCCGCAGUUAACGCGAUAAGCAUUCCGCCUGGGGAGUACGGUCGCAAGAUUGAAACUCAAAGGAAUUGACGGGGGCCCGCACAAGCGGUGGAGCACGUGGUUUAAUUCGAUGCAAACCGAAGAACCUUACCUGGGUUUGACAUGUAUGUGGUAGGAGAUGGAAACAUUGACGACGCUGCUUUCGGGCAGUGAGCAUACACAGGUGCUGCAUGGCUGUCG
rnacentral:rRNA from 1 species